rnacentral:rRNA from 1 species
GCAUAUCAAUAAGCGGAGGAAAAGAAACCAACAGGGAUUACCUCAGUAACGGCGAGUGAAGCGGUAACAGCUCAAAUUUGAAAUCUGGCCUCACGGUCCGAGUUGUAAUUUGUAGAGGAUGCUUCGAGCAUGGUCUGGCCUAAGUUCCUUGGAACAGGACGUCAUAGAGGGUGAGAAUCCCGUAUGCGGCCAGGUGCCUACGCUCAUGUGAAGCUCCUUCGACGAGUCGAGUUGUUUGGGAAUGCAGCUCAAAAUGGGUGGUAAAUUUCAUCUAAAGCUAAAUAUUGGCCAGAGACCGAUAGCGCACAAGUAGAGUGAUCGAAAGAUGAAAAGCACUUUGGAAAGAGAGUUAAACAGUACGUGAAAUUGUUGAAAGGGAAGCGCUUGCAACCAGACUUGCGCGCGGCCGAUCAUCCGGUGUUCUCACCGGUGCACUCGGCCGUGCUCAGGCCAGCAUCGGUUUUGGCGGCUGGAUAAAGGCCCUAGGAAUGUAGCUCCUCUCGGGGAGUGUUAUAGCCUAGGGUGCAAUGCAGCCUGCCGGGACCGAGGACCGCGCUUCGGCUAGGAUGCUGGCGUAAUGGUUGUAAGCGGCCCGUCUUGAAACACGGACCAAGGAGUCUAACAUCUAUGCGAGUGUUUGGGUGUCAAACCCAUACGCGUAAUGAAAGUGAACGGAGGUGAGAACCCUUAAGGGUGCAUCAUCGACCGAUCCUGAUGUCUUCGGAAGGAUUUGAGUAAGAGCAUAGCUGUUGGGACCCGAAAGAUGGUGAACUAUGCCUGAAUAGGGUGAAGCCAGAGGAAACUCUGGUGGAGGCUCGCAGCGGUUCUGACGUGCAAAUCGAUCGUCAAAUUUGGGUAUAGGGGCGAAAGACUAAUCGAACCAUCUAGUAGCUGGUUCCUGC